GAUGAAGAACGUAGCGAAAUGCGAUAAGUAAUGUGAAUUGCAGAAUUCAGUGAAUCAUCGAAUCUUUGAACGCACAUUGCGCCCAUUAGUAUUCUAGUGGGCAUGCCUGUUCGAGCGUCAUUUCAACCCUUAAGCCUAGCUUAGUGUUAGGAAUCUGCUGUAUUGCAGUUCCUCAAUACAACGGCGGAUCUGUAACAUCCUCUGAGCGUAGUAAAUUUUUAUCUCGCUUUUGUUAGGUGUUGCAGCUCUCAGCCGCUAAACCCCCCAAUUUUUGUGGUUGACCUCGGAUCAGGUAGGAAUACCCGCUGAACUUAAGCAUAUCAAUAAGCGGAGGA
rnacentral:misc_RNA from 1 species